rnacentral:rRNA from 1 species
CCUACGGGAGGCUGCAGUGAGGAAUAUUGGUCAAUGGACGAGAGUCUGAACCAGCCAAGUAGCGUGAAGGAUGACUGCCCUAUGGGUUGUAAACCUCUUUUAUAUGGGAAUAAAAUGUUCCACGUGUGGGCUUUUGUAUGUACCAUAUGAAUAAGGAUCGGCUAACUCCGUGCCAGCAGCCGCGGUAAUACGGAGGAUCCGAGCGUUAUCCGGAUUUAUUGGGUUUAAAGGGAGCGUAGGCGGAUUGUUAAGUCAGUUGUGAAAGGUUGCGGCUCAACCGUAAGAUUGCAGUUGAAACUGGCAGUCUUGAGUACGGUAGAGGUAGGCGGAAUGCGUGGUGUAGCGGUGAAAUGCUUAGAUAUCGCGAAGAACUCCGAUUGCGAAGGCAGCUCACUGG